UACGUAGGGUGCGAGCGUUGUCCGGAAUUACUGGGCGUAAAGAGCUCGUAGGCGGUGUGUCGCGUCGGCCGUGAAAACCUGGGGCUUAACUCUGGGCGUGCGGUCGAUACGGGCAUCACUAGAGUUCGGCAGGGGAGACUGGAAUUCCUGGUGUAGCGGUGAAAUGCGCAGAUAUCAGGAGGAAUACCGAUGGCGAAGGCAGGUCUCUGGGCUGACACUGACGCUCAUGCACGAAAGCGUGGGGAGCAAACAGG
rnacentral:rRNA from 1 species